UAGGGAAUAUUAGAAAUGGACGAAAGUCUGAUCUAGCAACACCGCGUGUGCGAAGAAGGCCUUCGGGUCGUAAAGCACUUUUUGGAAGGAAUAGGAAGGAAUGUACUUCCAGAAUAAGUCUCGGCUAACUACGUGCCAGCAGCCGCGGUAACACGUAGGAGGCGAACGUUAUCCGGAUUUACUGGGCGUACAGCGCGUGUAGGUGGUUCUGUAAGUAGGGCGUGAAAGCUCCUGGCUCAACUGGGAGAGGCCGUUCUAAACUACAGAGCUAGAGGAUGGUAGAGGGAGGUGGAAUUCCAGGUGUAGCGGGGGAAUGCGCAGAUAUCUGGAGGAACACCAGUGGCGAAGGCGGCCUCCUGGACCAUUCCUGACACUCAGACGCGAAAGCUAGGGUAGCAAACG
rnacentral:rRNA from 1 species